GUUGACCCCGUUGCUAGGUAUGAGUCAUCAUUUCAAAAGCCGUGAUUGGUUGAUCCUACAAGUUUGAUGAAAAUGAACUUUUGGUGAUAAUGAGCAAAGGAUGUACCCUCAAAUCAAUAAACAUAAUUAUACACUCUAAUCUUAUGCAGACUGUAAUUGUAAAUAAUAUUUCACAUUCAAGAAAAUAUCUGGAAAAUGAAUAGUAAGCUGUAGGGGUUAUAGCCUAACAUUAGAAUCUAAAAUAUGUGAAAACUUAAGCUCAUUACACCCUGUUCAAAUAAUGAUUUGUGUCUUAUUUGCUCAUAUUAAUAUCCUAGCUGGCAUAUUUUGUACUUUCACUCCCAUAUGGACCCCAUUGAAAACAAGAUGGCCUAUCUCAAGGGGCUGUCCUUAAUGAAGUAGAAAUUGCAACGUUACAACUCAGUGUGGUCUUAACGAGGGUAACACGGCUCAGCUUUUAUCAAUGUCUGUGAUUGCUGGCUGGUCUAUUUAUGAAAGCUUGUUAACAAAUAUCCUACAAACACAGAAAAUGGAGAAAAAAAGGAAUCGCAAGCCGAACUGGACUGAGGAGCAAGGUUUGUUGCUGGCCCAGUUGGUGAACGAACAUAAAGGUAUGUUACGAGGAAAAUUUGGCCCAACUGUCACUAGCCAAGGCAAGAGGCGCGCCUGGGACACAAUAUCCCAAACAAUCAAUGCCUCUUUUCCACUGGUGGUGCGGACAGGCGACGAUUGUGAGAAAAGGUUGCAGCACACAAGCGGGAAUCCUCACUCACAGGGGGUGGACCACCUGCAAAGCGGCUGUCCCAGGUGGCCGACACUGUCUUUCAAGUCCUGGGACACUCUGAGGUCAGUGUCACCGGUCUGCCAACAGGCAUUGACUCGUCAAUGAUGCAGGCCCUUGAAAUGCAGCAAAGCAUGGAGCCAUCACAAGAACCGGGCCCAUCAAGUUUGCCGACAAGAUUGCUGCCCGAACCAUCUGCAGC